UCCAAAUUUCAUUGCCCCCAUUCCCAUCACAUUCCUCACGAGACUCGCCAUCCGCUCGAGAGUCUUCUCGUUGUGUGUAUCCAAUGGUGUCGCUUAAGUCAUCAAGUCCAGCCAGAUAAGGUGCUCCGAAUCGGAACCAAUUGAGCGAGUGGCGAACGGGACAAAGGGAGCACAUUUCCAUGGGCCAGGACAUGGGUUCAGGACAUUGGGCAUACAUCCACAUGGCCAGUCAGUCAGACAACCAGUCAGCCCGACAGCUUAACUCGGUUGACAUUUAUCUGGCUUUUGCAUUUGUGCAUUGCUGUUGCCAUAGCGCCACGCCCACCCACAAUCGGAAUGGGCGUCCCAUUGAUGACGCUGGCGACUUUCAUUCACAAAACUGCAGCAUUUCAAGGCAGGAACGGAGUGGCAAACGUCAGCAGUGAAUGGAAGAGACAGCCAUGCAACCACCCCCUUUUGCUCCUCGAUGAAAAUGUGGAAAAUUGUGCAGACCCCUCGGCUCUCCAUCUUCUUUGGAUGUCCUUCGUCGUGGAUGUGGAUGUGAAUGUGAAUGUGAAUGUGGAUGCAGAUGUGGAUGUGG
rnacentral:lncRNA from 1 species